GAUGAACGUUGGCGGCGUGCCUAAUACAUGCAAGUCGAACGAAGACUGUAGUAAUACUGUCUUAGUGGCGAACGGGUGAGUAACGCGUGGGUGACCUGCCCCGAAGUGUGGGAUAACAGUCCGAAAGGAUUGCUAAUACUGCAUAAUAUCCAAGAGAUUAGAUGCUUUUGGAUUAAAGGAGUAAUUCGCUUCGGGAGGGGCCCGCGUCCCAUCAGCUAGUUGGUAAGGUAAUGGCUUACCAAGGCGAUGACGGGUAGGGGACCUGAGAGGGUGGCCCCCCACAAUGGAACUGAAACACGGUCCAUACACCUACGGGUGGCAGCAGUAGGGAAUAUUGGACAAUGGGCGCAAGCCUGAUCCAGCAACGCCGCGUGGAGGAUGAAGGCCUUCGGGUUGUAAACUCCUGUUAGGGGGAACGAAGGGUCACGGGUUAACAGCCGGUGACCUUGACGGUACCUCCAGAGGAAGCCCCGGCUAACUCUGUG
rnacentral:rRNA from 1 species